rnacentral:sRNA from 1 species
CAAGCGUUGAUGAUCCGGUCGUGGGCUGC